UACGUAGGGGGCAAGCGUUGUCCGGAAUCAUUGGGCGUAAAGCGCGUGUAGGCGGCUCGGUAAGUCCGCUCUGAAAGCCCGGGGCUCAACCCCGGGAGGCGGGUGGAUACUGCUGAGCUCGAGUCCGGAAGAGGAGUGUGGAAUUCCUGGUGUAGCGGUGAAAUGCGCAGAUAUCAGGAGGAACACCAAUGGCGAAGGCAGCACUCUGGGACGGUACUGACGCUGAGACGCGAAAGCGUGGGGAGGCAAACAGG
rnacentral:rRNA from 1 species